UAACCGUAGGUUCCAAGUUUUUAGACUUUCGGCUCCUCCUCAAAUAUUCUUCGCCUUUGAACCCCACCUGCCAGUGGGCACCUAAUGCCUUGUCCAAAUAUAAAAACAAAAUAAAAUCCCAAAACUGACAGCCUCACUGGUGGCGUAAUCCUAGCUGUCAAAACUGAGCCAAGUUGUUAUUAUAAUAACACACGUUACUGGCCCGUGUCGUUUAUUUGCAGCGGUUUGAGCUACCAGUCUAUAAAAAAAUAGUCUCUAUAGAAAUUGUCGGCCUAAUUAGAUCCCUGCGAGGAAGGGUUGCCAACUAUUGCAAACCGAGUUGUCAAACUUCGUAAAAGUUAUCAAACUUCGGAUAUUCUCUGCGAUUUAGCCUUAAACGUUAAUCAUCAAGGAAUUAUCAAUUUCAUUCCGUCCGUGACUAUCCCCGAUAGUUGAAGUGCGCGUCGGGUAGUUAAAAAUCUUAAAGCUAGUUAAAACUUAAAACUAGUUAAAACUUAGAAGGCUAAUAGUACGGUUUUGUGAAUUAGUACGAUUUGUAGUACGGUGAGUAAGAAAAUGUGGUUUAAAAGAAGAAAGGUGAAUAAUGCGCUUUUGUUAAACAGGUUACUUCAAUAGAACCAUUCAACUAGAGGUUAAUU